CCCUAGCCCCGAUAGAAGUGGAAAUCCUUUAGUGGCGGGGUUCGCCACUAAAGAUUGGAACGGAUAGCGGGAUUAGCU
rnacentral:sRNA from 1 species